CUCUUAAACCUUGUCAGCUGGAACAUCUCUGGAAGCAUCCAAGGUCAGGCUGGAUGGGCCUUUGAACAACCUGAUGAAGCAGAAGCUAUCCCUGGAUCUGUGUGUAUGACAGUUCUGAAGGUGGCUUAUGGAAGCGUGGCUUGGCAGUGUGAUAAACAACCAUCAGAGGACAGCUUCUCCCAGCCGGUGUCGGGCACACCUUGCCGUGCUCAGCUCUCUGGACUCCUCAGCUGAGCAUUUAGUGAGCAGCACAUCAAACUCUUUGCUCAGCUGCUUCAGGUCAUUUGCAGUAAUUCUGCUUCCUUCCUUGGGAUGCACUUCUUCCUCUUCAAGACUAAAGGUCAGUUCAGAAGAAUCUUCUUGGGAAAAACACACAGAUGCUAUUUUGCCAGUGCUGAAAAUCUCAUUACUAAUUUAUGGAAGGUUCCUGCUUUCCAUGUAUUGGAAGGAUUUCACAUCUGGAAGGAGGUGUGAGCCACAGAGAGAGAGAGAGAGAGCAGCAAUCCCUGCUGGAAAUGGCUUGGGAAUACCGGGGAGGAAGCAGGAGCAUUGGUGAGAUUUUGAGGACGGAAGAGUGAAAGAUGAAGUGCUAAAUCUGAGACUGUGGCUGCUAAAAUGAGCUGCUGAACACCAGAGAGCAAGAAUUACUGCAUUUCCUGAGAGUGCUGCAGAACCUCUGAGCCUUUUAUUUCCAGUAGUAGAAACCCACAUGGGUCUCAGGAAGUGUUAAAAUGACAGGUUUUGAAAGAACAGUUUACCAUCAAGGCAAAAAAUAUAUUUUAUAUGUAUAAAAUAGGUAUCUUAUGCUCUGUGUUUAUCUGUUUUCCCCAUUCCAGGUCCCCUGAGCAGAUAAUGCUGCAGUCUCAGCUCCCUCUCCCUCCACCCUGGCUGCUGUGCUGAACAUCAUUUCAAAAGAGCACAGCUGGGUGCUGGACUGUAAUUUCUCAUGCAGCUCAGAUCAAGUCCAUUAGUUUAUUUGAAGGUUAGGACCAAGACCAUGGAGGUGCACGAGGAGCUAAUAGACAGACCGGUGUUCCUGCUGUGCUCACGGGGGCUUAAACCAGGGAGAAAAUAGUCAGGCACAUCCAUAUUAUUUUCACCUUUUGCUUCACCAUUUGCAGCAGUCUCAUUCAUAAAUGACAAAGAAACAGCUCCCUGCUGUGAGGUCCUCAUACCACAGAGAGCUGUAAUGAGUUUGUAACGAGAUGGAGAUAAGGAAGGUUUUUUUGUGAUUACUCAGACAAAUCUCUGAGUGCAAAUCAGAGGGGUAUGUCUUUCCAUCACUCUCCAUGGCUUAAACAUCUGAGGAUAGUUAAGGAAUUCUCAUGGCAUUUUGUAAGAAGAACUCAGUAAGACAAAAAUGUUCUAAAUGCAUCUUUAUGGAUUUCUUGCCUUCAUUGUAUGUCAGAAUCUUUUGUAAUUUGACAGCCACCAGCAGUGAUUAAUGGCUGGCAAUAUGGCUGGGGGCAAUGUGUGUCUCAAAGUCAGUAUCAGGGAAGCCUCUGUGAUCUGGGAAGUCUUUGGCUCUGGAACUGUCUCCUUGCAAAAUCAGAAACAAGUGUUUUGCCUGUGUGCUCCGUGAAGAGCUCCAAAUAAAUAGCUGGAAUAUUAAUGAAGAUGAGAGUGA
ensembl:lncRNA